GAUAUGAAGAGCUUGCUCGGAUUUGAAGAUGAACAUUGCAAAGAGUGGCGAACGGGUGAGUAACACGUGGGAAACCUACCUCUUAGCGGGGGAUAACACUUGGAAACAAGUGCUAAUACCGCAUAAUACUGAUAACCGCAUGGUUAUCAGUUGAAAGAUGGUUCUGCUAUCACUAAGAGAUGGUCCCGCGGUGUAUUAGCUAGUUGGUAAGGUAAUGGCUUACCAAGGCAAUGAUACAUAGCCGAGUUGAGAGACUGAUCGGCCACAAUGGGACUGAGACACGGCCCAUACUCCUACGGGAGGCAGCAGUAGGGAAUCUUCCACAAUGGACGAAAGUCUGAUGGAGCAACGCCGCGUGUGUGAUGAAGGGUUUCGGCUCGUAAAACACUGUUGUAAGAGAAGAAUGACAUUGAGAGUAACUGUUCAGUGUGUGACGGUAUCUUACCAGAAAGGAACGGCUAAAUACGUGCCAGCAGCCGCGGUAAUACGUAUGUUCCAAGCGUUAUCCGGAUUUAUUGGGCGUAAAGCGAGCGCAGACGGUUGUUUAAGUCUGAAGUGAAAGCCCACAGCUUAACUGUGGAAGUGCUUUGGAAACUGGAUAACUUGAGUGCAGUAGAGGAGAGUGGAACUCCAUG
rnacentral:rRNA from 1 species